AAACAUAGGAACUUGAUCUCCUGCAUGGUUCCAGGCAGGUUUUGGCCAGACAACCCACAGCUCUCCCACGAGUGCUGGGCACAGCCUGGGAACUGGAUUGGGCUACAAUAGCUGCUCAGCAAAUACCUGGACACAGCCACCUGUUUUGUAGGGACUCUGCUGAGCUGCUGUUUAUCUUACUGCUCCCAGACCAAAGACUUUCAAAACAGGUCCAGCUGCUUGGUGUCAGCUGUGACCUUCCAUUGGUCAUGAAUGUAUUCCUGAGCCCAAAAGCAUGGAGGUCCUGGAAACUCAUAUUUUUCAGAAUUAGCAAACAUGAGUUUCAUGCAUUAAAUGUUCACACCUCAUCUGUUGGAGGAUUCCUGUGUAAAGGUUUACAAUUUAUUUUGUUUUAUGAGAAUUUCCAACUCAGAAUGUCUGAAUUCUGAAGUGCCUUAUAAACAGAAGUGUUGUGAUGCAAGAUGACAGACAAAUGGACAUUCAGAACUCACAUACUUUCUCAGCUGAAAACCAAAGAAAACACUGGGACUGCUAAAAUGAAAAUAAGUACAUCUUAUUGGGCACUUUUAUUUCAUCUUGAAGAGCAACACUACCCUUAUGGCUUAUCUGCUACCAGUUAGCAUUUAACAUUUGAUGAAGAUCGACUGUAAAUAUAUUACAGCAAAUAUUGUCCUUAUAUUUCUAUCAAUUUCCUCAAAUGUGUGUUCGUGCAACUGCUACUUAGUAUUCUGAAGCUGAUAAUUUUUAAUUCUGCACUACAUGUGUCAGCUUCUUUGAUAAAAAGCUCCAUGGACAUGGGAAGGAGUGCAGAAGAUCAAUGACAGAUGAAUAACGCCCAGCCCCAUCUCCUCCCAGACUGAUUCCUGGACAGCGUGCAGCCCAGUGACUAAGCCCAGUUACUGACAAUAUCCACACACCAUGCAUGUAUGUACAAUUCUACAGAAGGUGUUGAAGUAUCCAAAUAUAAACCACAUGUACCAUCACAGGCCUUGUAUUCUGAAAAUCACAGCAGCUGAAUACAUGACAGUGGCUCAGAGCCACUCCUUGUCAUUGAGCAGUCUUAGAUAGACAACACAUCUCAGAAAUGUUUGAAUUGGAGUUCAGUGGAGUUCAAAUCAAUGUCUUCCAUGUUUUGCCCAGUGAAGACUGUGAGCAGCUCACUUUUCUUGGUAAAGAUAUCCAUACAUAUGACCUUAGAGGAAGGGCUGGACUAACUCUUACCUGUGUUGACUAUACACCAUCCGUACCUACAUCUUCAAAAUCUCUGCUACAAGUCUUAAGGUCAGAAUUCAAAGGACUUCAUUUCACAGUUUUCUCAGAGAUAGUGGAGCAUUAAGGAUGUAAAUUUUAGCAAUGUUUUUAAGCAAUAAUUGUUUUUCAAAGUUGUAUGGAGUUGUACUUCACAGCUAUCAUUCCUGCAUAGAUCAUCUUUGAAGUCUCUUCACAGAUUUGUACCAGCCUCACUAAAAAAACAAGGAAUGCUGAUUUAGGUUUGACCUGACAGCCAUAAUCACUUCUUUCUGUAAGCUAUUAUUUCACGUGGAUAAAAAGGGUGAAUAUAUCUCGCAUAAUGUCAGUGGCAUUACAGCUGGAGAAUUUGGAGGGCAAGCUGAGCAAAGUAAACACUGACAACAUAGGUGAGAUUUAAUUUGUCCUGCAUUUGCAGUUAUUAAAAUACGUCUACAACAUAGAAUCCAUAACUCUGUCCUCAUACUUGAGCAGCUAUGUGAUAAACCAUAAAUCCCACACCACUCUGCUCCCUGUUUGCAGUUGCUGUUGAUUCCCAUGGAAAGGCAAUGGCACUUUAGGAAAAAAAAAAUAACAGUGCUGCUCUAUUUGAGUACUUGAAAACAUUUCCCAUUUAUCUCCAGACAAGUCGAUCACUCAAAGGGACUUUCAAAUACCAAAAAAAUCAAUAGAGUAAUUUAUCAACUGCAUUUGUGCACAGCCACAGUCACAGGCAACUGCUGCUUAUGGUUGCUAUUUGUGAUUGUUGGUGUCUGAGAGAUCUUGAGAUAAAUAAAUAGAGCAGUCAUUAGGCCUUCUCUCAAAAGCUACACAUACACAAAUAUGCCCUGUAGUACUAAGAAUACAACAGAUCUUUAAAAUCAGGCCAACCAAAUAAUAUAUAGUCUGUCACCCUACUUCUUCAGCUGACAAGAUAUUUAUAGAGUAAUGAAUACUUUGAAUGCACCAAAAAAUGAGAAUAAGAGUUGCUGGAUUAUCAAACUACAGAAAAAUGUCUAAUCAGUUCAUCUUGUCUCCCUAGAGCUCUUUUAGUCACAGUGCUUUUAAGAUCUUUUCUCAAAUAUAUUACUUUGGAUGAAUUUUUAAGAAAAUGGAAUUUUAAAGGAUAGAAGAGCCAGAUCUGGAUGUGAUGUUUGUUUGGAAAAGAAAACGAUCACCAGCUGUGUCUGCUAUUUCGAAUGCUUUGAAGGAAACUAUCUUUAACUCACAGAACAGGUUUGCAUUUGGUACUCUGCAUGCAUUCUGCACUCUGGACGGCAGUGGGAGAUCACAAGGAUGACCAUACCACACAGCUCCUCACAGCAGCCUGCAGGAGACUUCAGCUGUGUUUCACAGAUGCACUUUGGAGCUUCUGUUUUUCUUAGAAAUUGAUAGAAAAUGUGAAAACUAGACCCUGGAUUAAAAAAUCACCAUGUUUCUGUGUUCU
rnacentral:lncRNA from 1 species